rnacentral:rRNA from 1 species
GUCGAGGGGCAGCAUGAUUGAAGCUUGCUUCAAUUGAUGGCGACCGGCGCACGGGUGAGUAACGCGUAUCCAACCUUCCGCUUACUCGGGGAUAGCCUUUCGAAAGAAAGAUUAAUACCCGAUGGUAUGAUGAGAUUGCAUGAUAGCAUCAUUAAAGAUUUAUUGGUAAGCGAUGGGGAUGCGUUCCAUUAGGUAGUAGGCGGGGUAACGGCCCACCUAGCCGACGAUGGAUAGGGGUUCUGAGAGGAAGGUCCCCCACAUUGGAACUGAGACACGGUCCAAACUCCUACGGGAGGCAGCAGUGAGGAAUAUUGGUCAAUGGACGAGAGUCUGAACCAGCCAAGUAGCGUGAAGGAUGAAGGUCCUACGGAUUGUAAACUUCUUUUAUAAGGGAAUAAAACCUCCCACGUGUGGGAGCUUGUAUGUACCUUAUGAAUAAGCAUCGGCUAACUCCGUGCCAGCAGCCGCGGUAAUACGGAGGAUGCGAGCGUUAUCCGGAUUUAUUGGGUUUAAAGGGAGCGCAGACGGGUCGUUAAGUCAGCUGUGAAAGUUUGGGGCUCAACCUUAAAAUUGCAGUUGAUACUGGCGUCCUUGAGUGCGGUUGAGGUGUGCGGAAUUCGUGGUGUAGCGGUGAAAUGCUUAGAUAUCACGAAGAACUCCGAUUGCGAAGGCAGCACACUAAGCCGUAACUGACGUUCAUGCUCGAAAGUGUGGGUAUCAAACAGGAUUAGAUACCCUGGUAGUCCACACGGUAAACGAUGGAUACUCGCUGUUGGCGAUAUACGGUCAGCGGCUUAGCGAAAGCGUUAAGUAUCCCACCUGGGGAGUACGCC